GCAGCGACGCCGCGUGAGGGAUGACGGCCUUCGGGUGUAAACCUCUUUCAGCAGGGACGAAGCGCAAGUGACGGUACCUGCAGAAGAAGCACCGGCCAACUACGUGCCAGCAGCCGCGGUAAUACGUAGGGUGCGAGCGUUGUCCGGAAUUACUGGGCGUAAAGAGCUCGUAGGUGGUGUGUCGCGUUGUUCGUGAAAACUCACAGCUUAACUGUGGGCGUGCGGGCGAUACGGGCAGACUGGAGUACUGCAGGGGGAGACUGGAAUUCCUGGUGUAGCGGUGGAAUGCGCAGAUAUCAGGAGGAACACCGGUGGCGAAGGCGGGUCUCUGGGCAGUAACUGACGCUGAGGAGCGAAAGCGUGGGGAGCGAACAGGAUUAGAUACCCUGGUAGUCCACGCCGUAAACGGUGGGUACUAGGUGUGGGUUUCCUUCCUUGGGAUCCGUGCCGUAGCUAACGCAUUAAGUACCCCGCCUGGGGAGUACGGCCGCAAGGCUA
rnacentral:rRNA from 1 species